UACGGGAGGCAGCAGUGGGAAUAUUGCACAAUGGGCGCAAGCCUGAUGCAGCCAUGCCGCGUGUAUGAAGAAGGCCUUCGGGUUGUAAAGUACUUUCAGCAGUGAGGAAGGUGGGUAUGUUAAUAGCAUACUCAUUUGACGUUAGCUGCAGAAGAAGCACCGGCUAACUCCGUGCCAGCAGCCGCGGUAAUACGGAGGGUGCGAGCGUUAAUCGGAAUUACUGGGCGUAAAGCGCAUGCAGGUGGUUUGUUAAGUCAGAUGUGAAAGCCCGGGGCUCAACCUCGGAAUUGCAUUUGAAACUGGCAAACUAGAGUACUGUAGAGGGGGUAGAAUUUCAGGUGUAGCGGUGAAAUGCGUAGAGAUCUGAAGGAAUACCGGUGGCGAAGGCGGCCCCCUGGACAGAUACUGACACUCAGAUGCGAAAGCGUGGGGAGCAAACAGGAUUAGAUACCCUGGUAG
rnacentral:rRNA from 1 species